GAUGAACGCUGGCGGCGUGCCUAAUACAUGCAAGUCGAGCGAACAGACGAGGAGCUUGCUCCUCUGACGUUAGCGGCGGACGGGUGAGUAACACGUGGAUAACCUACCUAUAAGACUGGGAUAACUUCGGGAAACCGGAGCUAAUACCGGAUAAUAUAUUGAACCGCAUGGUUCAAUAGUGAAAGACGGAUUUGCUGUCACUUAUAGAUGGAUCCGCGCCGCAUUAGCUAGUUGGUAAGGUAACGGCUUACCAAGGCAACGAUGCGUAGCCGACCUGAGAGGGUGAUCGGCCACACUGGAACUGAGACACGGUCCAGACUCCUACGGGAGGCAGCAGUAGGGAAUCUUCCGCAAUGGGCGAAAGCUUGACGGAGCAACGCCGCGUGAGUGAUGAAGGUCUUCGGAUCGUAAAACUCUGUUAUUAGGGAAGAACAAAUGUGUAAGUAACUAUGCACGUCUUGACGGUACCUAAUCAGAAAGCCACGGCUAACUACGUG
rnacentral:rRNA from 1 species